rnacentral:pre_miRNA from 1 species
GGUCCAAAUUUGAAGUAGAGUAGAUAGGAAGGAUCAUCUGAGCCUACAAAACUACUCUACUUCGAGUUUGUGCUC